AUGCCAUUGUUGAUUAUUUCAAAUCCAUGUUUUACCUGCAAUUAUCUGUUUGUAAUUGUUCUAUUGAACCAGUAAUUGACUAUUAAUUAUGCGGACAAAAGCUUAUUGUUCUUGGCUUUAUGUUUGCUGAAUGUAAUCACUUUUGUUGUUGAUUGAUAUUAAAGGCAUGACAUUUUGUAUGUCGCCCAGAUAUGUUCGAAACAUCGCAGUGCUUGUCCCACCCUUACAUUCCUUCUAAAAAUGGUUCAAUUUCUCUUAAGAACAGCGGAAUUACCGCCCCACCCUCUCCCACAUUUCUGCCUGCCUCCUUCUCAACCUAAUUUCUUCACUUCCUUUCAGUUCUUUCAUCUCCUUCCUCCCCAUGACCCAUUUUCUUUCUCUCUCUUCAGUUUGGUUUGGUAUCUUUAAUGGACAGAGACAAUAAUCAAACUCUUUCAAGAUACAAAUCACAAGUUCUCUGAAUCCGGGGCUUUACUGUACAUAAUUUGAAAAUUUUCAGUGGGUCAUCAUCAAUGCCUUCUCCUACAGAGGGGCAUGUUCUUCCAAUUUUGAAUUUUAAGGAUAAUUCAAGCCGUUUAGGUACCCUCUCUUUCCCACACCAUCCCCACUUCCUCUCUUUAUAUCAUACUUCGUAUAUAUUACUUUGGAAGAUAGCAUCCAUGAUAUGAAAAUCUCAAUUCAGCUUGGGGUUGUUCUGAUUGGGUUCGUAAAUAUGCACUCUUCCAUAAAGAGUGCAGCGUGGUUGACAAGAUCUUGACCGGGUGCAAGUAAGGUACACGGUAUAACCCGACUAUGGGCCUCUGAGGAGUUACUAGACCAAUGGCCAGCUCUCCAACAGCUUUUGUCCAGGUUGAUGUGUUGUCAGGAGUAUCCAGAAAAUGAUGGAUCCUCAAACAAAAGUGAAGAACCUGAAAACGAACAAAAUCAAGAGGAAGAAGCGGAAGAGAAACCGGAAGAGCGAGAAGAAAAAAUGAUAACCAUUUUGGAAAAGUUGAAAGAAAAUAAAGACUUACCAUCACCAAUGGAAAGAAAUGUGGUGCAGUCUAUCACUGCUGGUAUCAUGUGGCUACAACGAUCACAGUGGAGCCAGCAAACUCUAUUCAAAUUGUUUUCCGAAGGUUGUGUCAAAUUGCGUUAUCAAUUGAUGCAGUCGCUUCAUCAAGAACCAACACUCAAUGGAAAAAUAUCUUGAUUGAAUUGAGAGAAUUAAAAAGGAGUUACAUGGAGAGGGAGAUCACAGAUCGAGGCCAGCAGAAGCUCUCGGGAAGAGGCGUCUUAGGAUCUCCCUGCAUCCAUUGCAAAGAAGCUCAAGGAACUCAUGUCGCUUUCUGUUGAGUGCAACCAGGGUCUUAAAAGUAUGGUUUGACUAUGCAAUCCAGGGAUGCAAGGAACUUCGCAGGGACACAGGGCUUACUUGCGUCACAGUACAUGGAGGAGGGUGGGGGGGAAGGAAGGGAGAGAGAGAUGUUGCUUCGUGGUGUUGUAAAUUGUCGGUAGAGCCACAAAGGGAUGGAACUUGGCAGGGACACGGGGAUCGCGACACUGACUCGAAUUGUUGUUGUAAUGACAGUAGUUAAGCUACAGUGACUGAUUAUGUACUAGACUACUCGAAUUAUGUGUUUAUUGUGCCUCUAAAAUUUAUGGCACUUACAUUGUCAACAUAUUUAAGGUUCUGUACUUCUGUAAAUCCAACUUUAAUAUCUAUUACAUGUAAAUCCAAUUGUAGCAUAACAUUUUUAACAUUUACAAUAUUUCUCGCAUUUACCUUAAAACAUAA